GACGAACGCUGGCGGCGUGCUUAACACAUGCAAGUCGAACGGAAAGGCCCUGCUUUUGUGGGGUGCUCGAGUGGCGAACGGGUGAGUAACACGUGAGUAACCUGCCCUUUACUUUGGGAUAACUUCAGGAAACUGGGGCUCAUACCGGAUAUGAGCUCCUGCUGCAUGGUGUGGGUUGUAAAGUUUCGGCGGUUGGGGAUGGACUCGCGGCUUAUCAGCUUGUUGGUGGGGUAGUGGCUUACCAAGGCUUUGACGGGUAGCCGGCCUGAGAGGGUGACUGGCCACAUUGGGACUGAGAUACGGCCCAGACUCCUACGGGAGGCAGCAGUGGGGAAUAUUGCACAAUGGGCGGAAGCCUGAUGCAGCAACGCCGCGUGCGGGAUGACGGCCUUCGGGUUGUAAACCGCUUUCGCCUGUGACGAAGAGUGAGUGACGGUAAUGGGUAAAGAAGCACCGGCUAACUACGUG
rnacentral:rRNA from 1 species